rnacentral:tRNA from 1 species
GGGCCUGUAGCUCAGUGGUAGAGCAUUUGACUGCAGAUCAAGAGGUCACCGGUCGGGCCCU